GUUUAUUUGGCCUUUGUGGGCCAUGCUGUUUAUGGGGUUUUACAUAUUCCUUUUAAAUGUAUUUAAUGACACACUUCUCUCUUUCCACACAGAAUAAGUUCGCCUCGUAACCAAGCAGUCAUGACUUAUCUGCUAGAGGAAUUGAAAACAACUUUUGCAGAUGCAGACCCUGAGUGUAUACAAGCGUGUUGCAAGACAUACUUUGAAACACUUCGGAGAAAGUACAAUUUGUCUCAGCCAGAAAAGUCCCAGCUAAGAGAUGCCAUUAAAACAGGAGCUAAAAACCGACAAAGGAAAAGACGGUUGCUGGAUUCCAGGUCCAAGGUUGUUCAACCGAUGCAGAGAGAGAGCUUUGGCAGACUGCUGACGAGGAGGAUGCCAUUGUUGAUGGAAGGCCAGUGUGGAUUGUGAGGUCUCCAUCUCACAGGAACCCACAAUUGUCAGAACUUUGUGAGGAGCUUCAGCGCAGAUUGGAGGCAGACAUGCGCUACACUAUUUUGCAUCAUCAGCGUGUUAAGGCUGAUGGAAAUGGACAUGAUGGACCUUCCUUUCUUCAACUUUAACUAAACUGCACUGGUUUUGCAAUUUUAAUAAUUGCACCACAAACUGCACAUUUUCACUUAUUCUCUUCUAUUUUAUCUUAUUCUUUGUAUACUUAUUAGGUUAGAUUUAUUUAGUUUCAUAUUCUGCAACUUAUUUUCUUUUAAUAUUGUGUGUGUUUGCUGUGUUUGGUUACAUUUUAAAUACUUUGUGCUGUGUGUACAUAUUAAGUAGUUUAUUUAGUUUUAUAUUCUGUAACUGUUAUAAUAUUGCUUGUUUAGUAAAAUUUUAUAAAAGUACUUUGCUUUGUGUACAUAUUUAGUUUUAUAUUCUCUAACUGUUAUAAUAUUGCUUGUGUUUAGUAAAAUUUUAUAAAAGUAC
rnacentral:lncRNA from 1 species